rnacentral:misc_RNA from 1 species
CAACCCUCAAACCCCUGGGUUUGGUGUUGGGGAUCGGCUCUGCCUCACGGCGGUGCCGCCCCCGAAAUACAUUGGCGGUCUCGCUGCAGCCUCCAUUGCGUAGUAGCUAACACCUCGCAACUGGAACGCGGCGCGGCCAUGCCGUAAAACCCCAACUUCUGAA